AUCAAUCUGUGCUGUCGGCCAUUACGGUGUAACUGUUUGUAAACAUUGGCGAUCUGAUAUCAGAUUUGACUUUUUAUCCACUAACAUCAUAACCAAAAUUAUGUGAUGCGAUAAAGGACAACAUUGACUCUAUUGUGAUUAUUUAUCGUUUAUGUAACUUUAAUUAUUUGCGUGAUGACAACUUUGUGUGUGGGCGAUUCUCAUGUAAACAGACUGAGCUCGUAUAUCGGUACACUUUAUGGGGCGUUGACAAGAUAGACACUAUUUGAUUUGUGAUGUUGGCAAGGUAUUCAUCAAAUAUCGCCUACCUUGUUAAGGUGGGGUUAACGCCCCCUUUUUCUCCAGAUAUGCAUUAUUCUUGAGACUCAGUUAAUUUUGGCUAGAUAUUUUUUAGGUCGAUUAUGCCGAAAUUGUAUUCUAGUCUUUCGAUACAACUUAUUGUUGCUCUCAGGCACAAACUUGACUUUUUAUGAUCUGUCUCCUUUCUUUUGAUAUUUAUGUACAUACAUGUAACUUAUUUUACUUUGUACAUGUUUUUUAUUGUGCCUUUUGUUCAUUGUCAUUUAUUGCAUCAUUCAAUAAAUGACCAUUUCUAUUCUCUAAAGAGGAGUUAUGUUUUAUAUCGAUGGUGGUGGUAAGGCAAGCAGACAUAAAAACAAUUUAUGUACAAUAAAUGGUUUAUGUAUGUUGCCAGUUGGUAAUGUGGGGAUUUUUCCCCAUUUAGUGAUAUUCUUAUCUGGUAAUUUGCAUACAUUGUGACUGCGCAUGCGCACUUUUUUCCUGAACUCCAGUCAUGGAGAAAACUUGCUGUCUGCCACCACCCACCCCUCCUCCAUAUUGUAUCUAGUCAUGUUAAUGUUUUAUUGUUGCCUUCUAGGGGUUAACGCCCCCUUUUUCUCCAGAUAUGCAUUAUUCUUGAGACUCAGUUAAUUUUGGCUAGAUAUUUUUUAGGUCGAUUAUGCCGAAAUUGUAUUCUAGUCUUUCGAUACAACUUAUUGUUGCUCUCAGGCACAAACUUGACUUUUUAUGAUCUGUCUCCUUUCUUUUGAUAUUUAUGUACAUACAUGUAACUUAUUUUACUUUGUACAUGUUUUUUAUUGUGCCUUUUGUUCAUUGUCAUUUAUUGCAUCAUUCAAUAAAUGACCAUUUCUAUUCUC
rnacentral:misc_RNA from 1 species